GAUGAACGCUGGCGGCGUGCCUAAUACAUGCAAGUCGAGCGAACAGACGAGGAUCUUGCUCCUCUGACGUUAGCGGCGGACGGGUGAGUAACACGUGGAUAACCUACCUAUAAUACGGGUAUAACUUCGGGAAACCGGAGCUAAUACCGGAUAAUAUAUUGAACCGCAUGGGUCAAUAGUGAAAGACGGUGUUGCUGUCACGUAUAGAUGGAUCCGCGCCGCAUUAUGUAGUUGGUAAUGUAACGGCUUACGAAGGCAACGAUGCGUAGCCGAGCUGAGAGGGUGAUCGGCCACACUGGAACUGCCACACGGUCCAGACCCCUACGGGAGGCCGCAGUAGGGCAUCUUCCGCAAGGGGCGAAAGCCGGACGGAGCACCGACGCGUGAGGCAUCAACGUCUUCGGCUCGUAAACCUCUGUUAUUAGGGAAGCACAAAUGUGUAAGUACCUAUGCACGUCGUGACGGAACCUAAUAAGAACGCCACGGAUAUAUACG
rnacentral:rRNA from 1 species